AUUGAACGCUGGCGGCAUGCCUUACACAUGCAAGUCGAACGGCAGCAUGGAGAGCUUGCUCUCUGAUGGCGAGUGGCGAACGGGUGAGUAAUGCAUCGGAACGUACCGUGUAAUGGGGGAUAACGUAGCGAAAGUUACGCUAAUACCGCAUACGACCUGAGGGUGAAAGCAGGGGAUCGCAAGACCUUGCGUUAUACGAGCGGCCGAUGUCAGAUUAGCUAGUUGGUGAGGUAAAGGCUCACCAAGGCGACGAUCUGUAGCGGGUCUGAGAGGAUGAUCCGCCACACUGGGACUGAGACACGGCCCAGACUCCUACGGGAGGCAGCAGUGGGGAAUUUUGGACAAUGGGGGCAACCCUGAUCCAGCCAUGCCGCGUGAGUGAAGAAGGCCUUCGGGUUGUAAAGCUCUUUCGGCCGGGAAGAAAUCGCACAGGCUAAUACUCUGUGUGGAUGACGGUACCGGCAUAAGAAGCACCGGCUAACUACGUGCCAGCAGCCGCCGCAG
rnacentral:rRNA from 1 species